GGUUGGAGAGCAUUCUGGGUAAAAACCCAAGGCCAUUUGGUUCUGGGUUGGGAAGGGGAAGAUGUAAUCCAUGCAUAUCCUGUGACUAGACACUGCGUAGAAGCAAGCAUCCACGUCUCGGAUGGACCAGUCUUAAUUUGCCACCUGCCCCUUCCGCUUCGUACAUGGCCUGUCUUCUUGACACUUUUCCUGAAGCGUGGAGAUCCUACCCUCAGGAGAAGAGGAGACAUGGAUGGCGUUGUGGCCAAGGCUAUCUGUAAGAGUGACUGAAGUAUAAACUGCGACGGUUGAGUUUUUCCGGGUUGUUGGACGCCAUGUGAGAAAAUUCCCGGAAGAUGUCGAGAUAGGUUGCGUCUCCUGCGAAGGAAAGAUGACAAAGAUGGUUGCCGAUGCAAAAAAUGAACCCCACGUUCUGGCCUUCAUUUCCCUAGCCAGGACAGACCUUGGAGAGUUUGGCUCUGAGGCCCUUUCAUUCAACAAACAGCGGCUCAUCUCAUGUGGCAGAUUCAAGGCAUGCCCCAUGGUAGAACAGCUGCACCAGCCCGGGCCUCACGGGAGGACAGCCUACCGCUUUACGGGUAGAAACCGGCACCUCUUCAGACCCCUCUGCCUCCACAUCGCCCUCUGAGUGUUUCUGGCUUACCUUAUCAAGCUUGGCUUCAAUUUCCACGACAUCGGUUUCGACUUCAUCUAUGGUCG